AUUAAACGCUGGCGGCAGGCCUAACACAUGCAAGUCGAGCGGAUGAAGGGAGCUUGCUCCUGGAUUCAGCGGCGGACGGGUGAGUAAUGCCUAGGAAUCUGCCUGGCAGUGGGGGAUAACGUCCGGAAACGGGCGCUAAUACCGCAUACGUCCUGAGGGAGAAAGUGGGGGAUCUUCGGACCUCACGCUAUCAGAUGAGCCUAGGUCGGAUUAGCUAGUUGGUGGGGUAAAGGCCUACCAAGGCGACGAUCCGUAACUGGUCUGAGAGGAUGAUCAGUCACACUGGAACUGAGACACGGUCCAGACUCCUACGGGAGGCAGCAGUGGGGAAUAUUGGACAAUGGGCGAAAGCCUGAUCCAGCCAUGCCGCGUGUGUGAAGAAGGUCUUCGGAUUGUAAAGCACUUUAAGUUGGGAGGAAGGGCAGUAAGUUAAUACCUUGCUGUUUUGACGUUACCAACAGAAUAAGCACCGGCUAACUUCGUG
rnacentral:rRNA from 1 species